UACGAAGGGGGCGAGCGUUGUCCGGAUUUACUGGGCGUAAAGAGCGCGCAGGCGGUCGUUCAAGUCGAGUGUGAAAGCCCCCGGCUCAACUGGGGAGGGUCAUUCGAUACUGAUCGACUCGAAGGCAGGAGAGGGUAGUGGAAUUCCCGGUGUAGUGGUGAAAUGCGUAGAUAUCGGGAGGAACACCAGUGGCGAAGGCGACUACCUGGCCUGUUCUUGACGCUGAGGCGCGAAAGCUAGGGGAGCAAACGGG
rnacentral:rRNA from 1 species